AACGAACGCUGGCGGCGUGCCUAACACAUGCAAGUCGUGCGAGAAAGUUUCCUUCGGGGAGCGAGUAAAGCGGCGCACGGGUGAGUAACACGUAGGUAACCUACCUUUCAGUCCGGAAUAACCAGCUGAAAAGCUGGCUAAUGCCGGGUAAGACCACGAUCUCUGCGGGGAGUCGCGGCCAAAGGCGGCCUCUUCAUGAAAGCUGAUGCUGAGAGAUGGGCCUGCGACCAUUAGCUAGUUGGUGAGGUAACGGCUCACCAAGGCUUUGAUGGUUAGCUGGUCUGAGAGGAUGACCAGCCACACUGGGACUGAGACACGGCCCAGACUCCUACGGGAGGCAGCAGUGGGGAAUAUUGCGCAA
rnacentral:rRNA from 1 species